UGCGAGAAAAGUAAUCGAAGAAUCGAGAGUACGGAAUUCUUUUAUAAGCCGGAUCUUAUAUGUCCGGAUCAAUUACGAUUAAUAAAAUAAAAAUAGUCGCGCAAAGCCAGGAUCGAGAAUUAUAUUUCCACCGAUUAAUUAUGUUGCGGCGACACCGUGAACCCUGUCUGUCCAUCGAUCUUCGUGCACGUUCGGUGGUGGUCGGUAGCGAUCGGCCUGAUUCGCGCGCAACUUCGCAAGCGCGGAAAGGGCGGUGGGGCUCGCGAAGUUUCGGCCGUGGCGCUUUCGUUCAUUCGUCGUUCUGCGCUCUGUGCGCUCGUUUAUCGCGUGAUCGCGGUUCGGUUUUAACGUGUGUCGCGUGUUACGUUUAUUCGAUCGAUCGUCAUUGUAAAUAAUAAUAUCCGUGAAAUCGAUUCUUGACCGUUUCAAGUAUCGAUACUGUGUAGGAAGAAGAAUGUGCAUCGUUCCCCCGGUGAGAAAACAAUUCGAACGUGAAGAGUGUUCCGAACGUUAUUGAAGUUUGAGAUUACAACAUGGCAGUUCAAUAUCGAUAAAGAAAUUGUAAGAUCGAUACGAUUAAGUUGAACCAGUGAUUUUUUAAUAGAGUUUAACGUAUUAUAUCAAUCGAACGAAUGAUAUAAUGGUUAAAUGAUAAAGGGAAAAGUGUAUUCGAAGAACGAAAAGUAUUAUCGUAGUGUAUUUUGCUACGUUUUUAAACGCGAAGAAAAAUCUAUUGGCUGUUGUCGAGAUCAGGUUAGUCAUGUAAAAUUACGUAUCAUUUUACGAAUAUCAUGUGUCGAGUGUGAUAUAUACGAAUUAUUGAAAUUAGAAUCGAUGCGUAAAGUAUUUUGUGCUUUGUUGUAAGUGAAUUUACGAAAAAAAAAAAAAAAAAAGAAAAAAUCAAAGUUAUUAUGUAUAAAAUAUUAACUAACAAAAGCAGUUUUUAGUGAUGCAACCUAUAUAAUACUAUAUAAACGUAUAAAACCUACUCGAUCACCAUAAUGUCUAAAAUGUCGUGCUUAAUUUUUAUUAAUUUUUCCUCCGUUUCGAAUGCGCAUUACCAUUCUAUUCUCUUUAUGAUGAGAUUUAACGAUAUAACCUCGAUAUUUAAAUUAAAAUGUAUAUAAUCUUUCGUGAUUUAGUUCGGAAUGGCCAAUUUUACGCGAACCUCUUUCACAAUUUAUUAUUAUUUCCUAAAUUCAUUUCUUUUAUAUCUCCCGUUCUUUCGAUCUCUUUUCUUAUUUCCGAGUCGAAAUAUAAAUGUUUCGUCACAAGUACUUUAGAAUAAAAAUUCUCAAGCAAGAAAAUUCUUUGUUCGCGAGGUAUUCUGUAUAAACAAUGAUAAUGUAAUACGAAUGAAUAUUCAUGACAAUACGCGACGGUUGAAAUGUUUUUUAGACUUCCGUCGACCAUCAUUUCUUUUUCACUUCUUCGCGAAAGAACUUGCUACGAAACUAAUGCUUAUAUCUGCUUUUUUUUUGUAAUGUUCAAAAAUAUGUUUC